UGUGGUGGAUUCAAAGCAUUGUUCUGCGUUCAAUUGUAAUGGGUCUGUUGGUUCCGUUGCGUUCGUGGGUUUCGGCUCACGAUUUGUCUGGUACGUCGGGAAAAAAGUCAAUUAUGAAUGUAAUUGAUCUGACUACCGUGCGUAACGGAAUUCAAAUGUGUGUUUGAUGGACUUUAUUUGCAAUCGGCGCUCAAUGUGUUUUCUUAUAUCGGUGGCGUCAAUGUUAGCCUCCCAUCCGACCCGUCUUGAAACACGGACCAAGGAGUUCAGUAGGCACGCGAGUCGUUGACGUUUUUCAUUGAACAGUCGAAGGCGAAAUGAAAGUGUUAAUGAAAAUGAACUGUACUUCUUUAUGGAGUGCUGUUCAAUUUUUCAACAUGAUCGUCCUUUUUUGUGCUUAAUUGUGCAAAAUAAUAGAUGUAUGGGGACGCGCAGUGUGGUGCCGUUGAAUAGUCGCACUGUUCUCUCUUUCUCUUCGGGGUUGGAGGAACAAUUGUCGAUCAGUCGGUUUCGGAGCGUGCACACUGGUACCCGAAAGAUGGUGAACUAUGCUUGAGCAGAAUGAAGCCAGAGGAAACUCUGGUGGAAGUUCGUAGCGGUGUUGACGUGCAAAUCACUCGUCUGACUUGAGUGUAGGGGCGAAAGACUAAUCGAACCAUCUAGUUGCUGGUUCCUUCCCGAAGUUUCCCUCCUGAUAGCUGGAAUUUGUUUGCACAAUUUUAAUCCGU
rfam:Trichinella spiralis unplaced genomic scaffold Scfld198, whole genome shotgun sequence.